rnacentral:rRNA from 1 species
CACGUAGGCGGAUGGGUAAGUCAGAUGUGAAAUCCCGGGGCUCAACUUCGGAACUGCAUUUGAUAAUGCCCGUCUUGAGUGUGGUAGAGGGGGAUGGAAUUCCCGGUGUAGAGGUGAAAUUCGUAGAUAUUCGGAGGAACACCAGUGGCGAAGGCGGCUCACUGGCUCGAUACUGACGCUGAGGUGCGAAAGCGUGGGAGCAAACA